GAUGAACGCUGGCGGCGUGCCUAAUACAUGCAAGUCGAGCGCGAAUCUCAGGAGCUUGCUCCUGAGAUUCGAGCGGCGGACGGGUGAGUAACACGUAGGCAACCUACCCUUGAGAUUGGGAUAACUACCGGAAACGGUAGCUAAUACCGGAUACGACAUUCCUGCAUAAGUAAGAAUGUUAAAAGGCGGAUUUAUCUGCCGCUCAUGGAUGGGCCUGCGGUGCAUUAGCUAGUUGGUGAGAUAGUAGCUCACCAAGGCGACGAUGCAUAGCCGACCUGAGAGGGUGAUCGGCCACACUGGGACUGAGACACGGCCCAGACUCCUACGGGAGGCAGCAGUAGGGAAUCUUCCGCAAUGGACGCAAGUCUGACGGAGCAACGCCGCGUGAGUGAUGAAGGGUUUCGGCUCGUAAAACUCUGUUGUUAAGGAAGAACACUUGAGGUAGUAACUGGCCUUGAGAUGACGGUACUAACCAGAA
rnacentral:rRNA from 1 species